UACAGAGGGUGCAAGCGUUGUCCGGAAUCAUUGGGCGUAAAGCGCGUGUAGGCGGCCCGGUAAGUCCGCUGUGAAAGUCGGGGGCUCAACCCUCGAAUGCCGGUGGAUACUGUCGGGCUAGAGUGCGGAAGAGGCGAGUGGAAUUCCUGGUGUAGCGGUGAAAUGCGCAGAUAUCAGGAGGAACACCAAUUGCGAAGGCAGCUCGCUGGGACGUGACUGACGCUGAGGAGCGAAAGCGUGGGGAGCGAACAGG
rnacentral:rRNA from 1 species